AUGACCCAGGUCCCGGGGAAAGACGCCCACCCACAGGGGUCACCAAUGCCGCCCAAGAGCCCGGCAGAUUCCCUCAGCUGCAGCUCCCAGGGCCCCCCGCCGAUUCACCCCACCAUCGGGCGUUGUUGGCUAAAGUGAAGAUUCUAGCCUCAUGACUCUCAUGAUUUGAACGUAGUGAUGAGUAAACGCGGUAUUUUUUUGACGUGGCUCCGACCGGCGAAAUGUGAUAUAAACCAUCUGCGAUCUCCCCUGAUGCCACAGUCUUAACCCGCAACAGUCACGUCUGUGCUAUGUCGCCCGUAGCGGACAGAAACGCCACACUGCAGUUAGCGGUAAAUGAGAGUAAAGAUGUGUUUUCCGAUCCAAGUUCAAGGGGUCAGUGGACCCGGUCGCCAGGGUCUCCAGGUCGACCAAACCUCAACGAAUCGCCCCACUUGUGCCCCAUCCUUCUUUCUCCAGACGAAACCUCGAUUCCAUAUCCCAGCCUGAAAGUUGAAGAAACCUGGGCACCCUGCAAGGUUUCUCCCUGGCCACGCCCGGGAUCAUCACAGACGCGUCUCUGUCCAAGGCUGCGGUUGCUAGUCCCCUCCUCCCUGAAGCCUCCUGUCCCCUCGGGCUGCAUCAGGUGCCUCCUCUGUCCCUCCCCAGGCUCCACCCCCCCGCCACGUGUCACUUCCAAGAUGAGAGCCGGUCACGAUGGAGGAAAGCUGUCCGGUGUCUCUCUUCCCCGCACCGCGCCCAGCACGGAGGACGCGUGCUGUCCACGGAGGGAGGAGGGGUGUGCGCCCUCAGCAGCCUUCAGACUCAGCUUCUAGAUGAAUAGCAGGUGGCCGGCCAGGUGCCAGUGGGUUGGCCAGAGCCCAGGCGGGGCGGCCGUGGGUCAGAGUCAGAUUGUCACGCCAGAGAGGACGACAGCCAGUGGCGGCCACUUCCUCGUCUGCAGCUGGGCCGCCCCGCCUCCCCGACCAGGUGGAGACCUCCAGAUAUCCUGGUAACCACCAAGGGCACUGGGCAAGCCAGGAAAACUAAUCCCGCUGAGGAGACCCAAGCCAGCCCUCUCCAUGCUUGUCUUCCUCUGUGGGACCCUUGCCUCUACCAAGUUCAGCCAUCAUCCGUUGUUCGCCCCCCACGUACGUGAUGAAGUUCACAGCAGACCAGAGUACCAGCUCCUGGAAGCCCAGAAGCCACCUCGGGUCAGUUACAGUCCCUCUCGAACUCAACAUCGGAGCCUCCCUCGUGUUUCCUUCGGGAAAAUCUGGAUUUUCGUAGGUGAGACUCGCGAAGCUCGGUGCACUCAUGUCACCGCAAGAGGGGCCACUAGAUUCAAACCCCGGCUGUACCAGUUAGUGGCCAUGUGGCCCUGAGGCAGCCCUUGAGUUUUCUGCGCCUCAGUUUCCUUAUCUGGAAGACGAGGAUAAUGAUAGCACCUCUCUCGGAGGAAUGUCUGUGAGGAGCAGAGGGCGGUGCCCACACAGGGAUGAUGCUCUGUGACCGCCAGCUGUCCUCGUGACCCUGGGCUGGAGAGUCACACGGGCCCAAGUUCGAACCGUCGACGUGCCUAGCAUUUGCUGGCUGAUAGCGCUCAGUCACUUGUCCCUUCCAACCGCGGUGUCCUCAUCCGUAAAUGUGGACAAGCGCUGACGCUUUCACCAGCGGGGUCCGGUGAGGAUUGGAUCGUGACAGGGAUGAUGUAGGCACUUAGCCCGGUGCUGGGCACACAGUAAGCCCUCACUGAAGGGUCAGGAGAAACAACUCCCUGGAACACCCACCAGGAUGGCUACUAUCAAAAAAAAAAAAAAACCCUGGGACGCCUGGGUGGCUCAGUCGGUUAAGCGUCCGACUCUUGAUUUCGGCUCAGGUCAUGAU